AGGAUGAACGCUGGCGGCGUGCCUAAUACAUGCAAGUCGAGCGGCAGCGCAGGGUGCUUGCACCCUGGCGGCGAGCGGCGGACGGCUGAGUAACGCGUAGGAACGUACCCUAAAGUGAGGAAUAACUGCCCGAAAGGGUGGCUAAUGCCGCAUGUGCUCUUCGGAGUAAAGCUUCGGCGCUUUGGGAACGGCCUGCGUCCGAUUAGCUAGUUGGUAAGGUAAUGGCUUACCAAGGCUACGAUCGGUAGCUGGUCUGAGAGGAUGACCAGCCAGACUGGGACUGAGAACGGCCCAGACUCCUACGGGAGGCAGCAGUGGGGAAUUUUGCGCAAUGGGGGAAACCCUGACGCAGCAACGCCGCGUGGAGGAUGAAGUACUUCGGUACGUAAACUCCUUUCGAUCGGGACGAUAAUGACGGUACCGGAAGAAGAAGCCCCGGCUAACUUCGUGCCAGCAGCCGC
rnacentral:rRNA from 1 species